GGCCGGGUGGUCUAUAGUGGUCAGGACGUUAGCCGUGUAAGCUGAAAACGCGGGUUCGUUUCCCGCCUCGGCCA